AUCGAGCAUCAUCUUCGCGUACACGAACGACGCCGUGUAGCCCGAUAUGAACACGAACAGGUCGGCGGCGUCGCUGAACCCGUAAUUGCGCGGGGUCGCCCAGUUGAUGACGUUGUUCGGAAUGUGGUCGAGAAAGAUCCACCAGUUGGCGAUGCCGCGGAAGAAAUCGAGCCGGAGGUCGCGGCCCUUCUCUGGGAGUGUUGCCUGAAUUUCCAUGAGUACCGUUUCGUGAUGCGAUCGAACCAAAUAACGCCAGCGGAACGCCUACCCGGACCCAAGCGGUCCGACAUUGUCACCGCGUUUC
rnacentral:misc_RNA from 1 species